AUAAUAUUGUUUGUUGUUGUAUUUGUUUUCAGCACCACUUUUUAAUACGUUUGUAAUAUCUUUGGGUUCAAGUAGGUUUUAAACUUAAUUAUUUUUCUUUUAAAUGUAAUUAUAUCUUACCUGGUUCUUUGCCGCGGGUUGUUGUCUGAAGGCCAUAUGUUUUAUAUGUUCUUCAGCCAAUCAGCAGCCGGUUCAGGUCAGGGAGAUUAAUUAAAUUCUAAUUGUUAGAAGGAGAAUGUAAAAUAAGGCGUCUUCAUCGUAUGGUUAUGACCAAUACGCCACUUAUUUUAGUGAUUGAACAUGUAAGAAUUAACUUCAGUGUUCUUAUAUAUAUUUAAAAGAAUUCACCAGACGUCACAUAGUUUUUUGGAACCAACAGAAGUGUAGCUACUGGGAGGAUUAGCUACUGGCAGUAUGGAGUGUGCCAGCGGCAUUCAUCACCUGUUGAUCCUCAUCCUGCGCAAGGACUCGCGCAGCCCCACGAUGGACAGGUACUGCUGGCGCGACAGCUGCGUGGCGGCAUCCUGCAGUACGAAGUCCACCAGCAGCUUGGGUACGCGUGCCUCGUUGGACUUGUUCACGAUCACUUUCACCUUGCACGUGACGGGCUUCACCACUACGCAGCAGCCACACACGCCUGUCAGCUUCCCAAAUAUCACCACGUUAACUCUCUAAAUGUAUGCUUAACCUCCAGUUGUUAACCAUAACCCAAAAAUAUACCACGUGAACUCGACAUUGAUCACCUCUGAUUUAUCCCUUUGUGAUCAUAAAGUGAGUUUCAUGAGUGGCAAACAUGGCGGACUUUCCCGUAAGCUGGUGCUUUUUCUCAGAGAACUCCCGUUUUCCUCACUCAUUCAUGCUAUUAAUACUUCACUUCAAUCACAUCAUUCCUCAUUGUCUGUAGAAACAACCCAGUUUCGACGAGCCAUUAGGCCCCAAUUCAUUUACUCAUAGAUUCAUUAUUGAUAUGUAAAAUAAUGUUUAAAAUGUGUUUCCUUUUAUCCCUGCUCUCCCAUGAACGUCCCUGUAAACUGUGUGGCCGCCCUCACCGAACUCAAAGUCCUCGCCGUUGACGCAGAAGGUGUCGAGACCACGCCGCAUCUCUACACGCCAGGCAUAGGGCUGCGCCGGGUCCACCGCCGCCGCCACCAGACGCUCUGCCCCACAGCCCGGGUUCCAGUACACGGACAGCGACUCGAGCCGCAGCAGCUGGUACAGCGACGAGGCGCCCGUUGGCGUUAGGCUCGGCUUCCACUUGCUGCAGCAGACAUAAACAAUUACAAUUGUCAUUGUACACAUGAAUAACAAAGAUGGUUUAACACAGGUAGUGUGAGUGAAUUAAGUUUGAUUUAACGUGUCGUCAAGAUCCGGGACAUUAGAGACGAUGAGAAGUGAAAAUUUGAGCUAAAGCAUUGAUGGAAUGACUUUUGUGGAAGAACAGAUGUAUCCAAGGAAAUUCAUCAGCUCACAGCAACAUUCACAAAGUUUCCUCUUACGAAAAAUGAAGAUUUGUUUCCGUUGUAAAACACACCCUGAUCACAUUUCUGGGAGAAGAGUGAGAUGGGUGAAAUGAACUCUCAACAACUCCACAGUACGCUGAAAUCCCAGUUGAGCAUCACCUUGUACCAGGAAGGAUUAAUGCAAGGUCUGCCGGCUUGCUAUCAUUGGGAUUUGGCCUUAACCACCAUGAAGCAUUUUCAGUUAAUGGCUUAUUCCAGAAUUUGAUGGUUGUUAAGUAGGACAUACACAAUGUACACAAUUCAUUUGUUGAAACACAUACAUUUUUAAUUGUGGAAACUUGCCUGACGUUUUACAAGUAUCAUACAAAGAGUAGCAUAUAGCUGACAACAGUACUGCCAAAGAAAAAAAAGGUGUUUAUAUUGUAUAACAACUGUAGGAAUUGCCUUAGAAAAAAAAUUAAUGAUGUUAAAUUGCAUAUGGAAAUGGUUCAUGAAGCUGAGCUUAAAAUGCAUCUCUGGCACUUUUGAUGGCGCAAACAAUGUUGUGGCUCUAGUGCAAUAACUUUUGAAACCAAUCUGCCUGUGACAAUGGGGUUUUCAAGUGCACAUUUUCAUUUCAACAGAACAUAAGAGAUGGUGUGUCUUUUAAAUAUCCAAGUUGAUAGUUACUUUUUUCCUUCACAACAUUUUGAAAGCAAUUUAAACAUAAACUCUUUUUGGCAAUUUAAUUUUUAAAAAAAUAGUUAAGAAACAAAAUGCAGAAAUAGAAUUACCACGCCAUUCUCAACUUAUAAUAAGCUUUAAGCUUUUUGUAAACAGACAGUUGAGCAGUUUUGAAAUCACGUGGGUUAUCAGUGUGCCCAGCCAGACUCAGGGGAGGCUUGGGGAGCACCUGUUGGUCGUCUCGACGGACACGCUCUGCACGCACAAGCCGCACGCCAGCGCGCAGUCCGGGUUGCUGACGGCGUCCUCAUAGCGCACGUGGAUGUUGCGCGCAAACACCUGCAGGUUGUUCAUGAUGGUGGUGGCCAGGUGCUCAAAGAAGCUCUUUGAGUCGGGUGAACCUGCAGGCAGCCAUAGCACGACCAGCUUGUAUCAUGCCUACUGGUCCUCUGUAGGUCCAGCAGGCUGCAAGUUUCCUUCAAGCUGGUGCCCAGUUCAACUAGAAGCUUCAUUCAAGUGUUAUAAAUGCUUGUCUGUGUAAUAAAAGGCAUAGGAAGGGAGGAGGGUAUCAGGUUACAUCCCACCCGCUUCACCUAACCUGCCUUGGAGUGGAGCUAUUUUCUGCAAAUAAGUACUUUUUGUCGUAAUGUGUGUUGUUUGUUCCAUGUUAUACUUAAAGAACGGUAGCAGAUUCAGGGUGAUGUAGUGAAAAAUAAAAAUGUGAGAGAUUUCAGUGAAAA